rnacentral:rRNA from 1 species
GAUCAUGGCUCAGGACGAACGCUGGCGGCAUGCCUAACACAUGCAAGUCGAACGGAGAUUAUUUCGAUAAUCUUAGUGGCGAACGGGUGAGUAACGCGUGGGCAACCUGCCCUCUAGAUGGGGACAACAUCCCGAAAGGGGUGCUAAUACCGAAUGUGACAGCAAUCUCGCAUGAGGAUGCUGUGAAAGAUGGCCUCUAUUUAUAAGCUAUCGCUAGAGGAUGGG